GUGGGGAAUCUUAGACAAUGGGCGCAAGCCUGAUCUAGCCAUGCCGCGUGAGCGAUGAAGGCCUUAGGGUUGUAAAGCUCUUUCGUGGGGGAAGAUAAUGACUGUACCCCAAGAAGAAGCCCCGGCUAACUCCGUGCCAGCAGCCGCGGUAAUACGGAGGGGGCUAGCGUUGUUCGGAAUUACUGGGCGUAAAGCGCACGUAGGCGGACUGGAAAGUCAGGGGUGAAAUCCCGGGGCUCAACCCCGGAACUGCCUUUGAAACUCCCAGUCUUGAGUUCGAGAGAGGUGAGUGGAAUUCCGAGUGUAGAGGUGAAAUUCGUAGAUAUUUGGAGGAACACCAGUGGCGAAGGCGGCUCACUGGCACGAUACUGACGCUGAGGUGCGAAAGCGUGGGGAGCAAACAGGAUUAGAAACCCCAGUAGUCC
rnacentral:rRNA from 1 species